AGUGGGGAAUAUUGGACAAUGGGCGCAAGCCUGAUCCAGCCAUGCCGCGUGAGUGAUGAAGGCCUUAGGGUUGUAAAGCUCUUUCACCGAUGAAGAUAAUGACGGUAGUCGGAGAAGAAGCCCCGGCUAACUUCGUGCCAGCAGCCGCGGUAAUACGAAGGGGGCUAGCGUUGUUCGGAAUUACUGGGCGUAAAGCGCACGUAGGCGGAUAUUUAAGUCAGGGGUGAAAUCCCAGAGCUCAACUCUGGAACUGCCUUUGAUACUGGGUAUCUUGAGUAUGGAAGAGGUAAGUGGAAUUGCGAGUGUAGAGGUGAAAUUCGUAGAUAUUCGCAGGAACACCAGUGGCGAAGGCGGCUUACUGGUCCAUUACUGACGCUGAGGUGCGAAAGCGUGGGGAGCAAA
rnacentral:rRNA from 1 species